UGCCUUGUGGUGUUCCCUAUAGGCUGUGUUUUUUGCACUGGCUAUAGAGAAAGAAAAGGCAUAGUAAACCCCCCAUAUGCACUUCUAGGUGCACCCGAAUUGGACGAUUAUG
rnacentral:snoRNA from 1 species